GGGGCUGUAGCUCAGCUUGGGAGAGCGCUUGCAUGGCAUGNNUGGUAGAGCGCUUGCAUGGCAUGCAAGAGGUCGUCGGUUCGAUCCCGAUCAGCUCCA
rnacentral:tRNA from 1 species